CAGCUUGUUGGUGAGGUAACGGCUCACCAAGGCUUCGACGGGUAGCCGGCCUGAGAGGGCGACCGGCCACACUGGGACUGAGAUACGGCCCAGACUCCUACGGGAGGCAGCAGUGGGGAAUAUUGCACAAUGGGCGCAAGCCUGAUGCAGCAACGCCGCGUGCGGGAUGACGGCCUUCGGGUUGUAAACCGCUUUCAGUUCCGACGAAGCGCAAGUGACGGUAGGAACAGAAGAAGGACCGGCCAACUACGUGCCAGCAGCCGCGGUGAUACGUAGGGUCCGAGCGUUGUCCGGAAUUAUUGGGCGUAAAGGGCUUGUAGGCGGUUUGUCACGUCGAAAGUGAAAACUCAGGGCUUAACCCUGAGCCUGCUUCCGGUACGGGCAAACUAGAGGGAUGCAGGGGAGAAUGGAAUUCCUGGUGGAGCGGUGGAAUGCGCAGAUAUCAGGAGGAACACCGGUGGCGAAGGCGGUUCUCUGGGCAUUUCCUGACGCUGAGAAGCGAAAGCGUGGGGAGCAAACAGGCUUAGAUACCCUGGUAGUCCACGCCGUAAACGGUGGGCACUAGGUGUGGGGAACAUUCC
rnacentral:rRNA from 1 species